GGCGAACGCUGGCGGCAGGCCUAACACAUGCAAGUCGAACGAACUCUUCGGAGUUAGUGGCGGACGGGUGAGUAACACGUGGGAACGUGCCUUUAGGUUCGGAAUAACUCAGGGAAACUUGUGCUAAUACCGAAUGUGCCCUUCGGGGGAAAGAUUUAUCGCCUUUAGAGCGGCCCGCGUCUGAUUAGCUAGUUGGUGAGGUAAAGGCUUACCAAGGCGACGAUCAGUAGCUGGUCUGAGAGGAUGAUCAGCCACAUUGGGACUGAGACACGGCCCAAACUCCUACGGGAGGCAGCAGUGGGGAAUCUUGCGCAAUGGGCGAAAGCCUGACGCAGCCAUGCCGCGUGAAUGAAGAAGGUCUUAGGAUUGUAAAAUUCUUUCACCGGGGACGAUAAUGACGGUACCCGGAGAAGAAGCCCCGGCUAACUUCGUGCCAGCCGCCGCAGUAA
rnacentral:rRNA from 1 species